rnacentral:rRNA from 1 species
AAAACGAAGAAUAUAAUUUUAGGUUAGUCCAUUUCAAUAAAUUGAUUUAACAAAAAUAAAAUAUUCCUUUUGCAUAAGGAGAGCAAAAUAGAGAAAAAUAUACUUUUCCGAAAGUUUUUGAGCAAAGACAAUUAAAUUUGAAAGUGGCACAUUUUUUUGUCUUAGUAGAUAUAAUCUUUUCGAAAAAGCUAAUAUCUGAUCAUUUAACAAUCAUAAAAGGAAAGCCUUUAGAAACAGAGUUUAAUUUAAUUUCUUCUAUGAAUUGCUAACAGUGUUUAAGAUUUUUCAUAAAACAAUUACAACAAUUCCUAUCAACUCCCAAAUAAAAGAUAAUAAAUUAAAAUUUUCUUACUAGUAUAAUAAAAUUACCAAAACUAAUUAUUGAACAAAACUAUCUAAAGAUAUUUAUAAAAAACUAAAAGAAAGUCCUUUUGAACGCUUAACAAAAACUUUUCUAUUAAAAUUAAUAGAACUCCCCGCCAAUUGAUAUUAUAAAAGGCCGAAGGAAUUUUUACUUCGCGAAGGUAGCGUAAUAAUUUGACUAUUUAUUGUAGCCCAGAAUGAGUGGGAAAACAAAAGGAUUCUUUUUAAUAAAUAAAAAUAGAAACUAAUCUUUCCUUGAAAAUCAGGAGAGAAUUUUUUUAGACGAAAAGACCCCAGGAUCUUAUACUUUUAAAAAGUUUUAUUGGGGCAAUAUUUUUCUAAUGAAGAGAAUAAUAAUUUCAAUCCCUGUUUUUAACAAAAUAAAGAUACCCUGGGGAUAACAGGGUAAUUUUCUAAAAGAGACCCUAUCUAAUAGAAAGAUUUCUACCUCGAUGUUGGCUUUCCUAUCACUUUUAGGGGAAGAAUAUUAAAAGGAAAGUCUGUUCGACUUUUAAUAGGAACAUGAGCUGAGUUCAAGUCGGCAAGAGCCAGACUGGUUUUUAUCUAAAAAUAAAUAAGAAGAAUCCAGUACGAAAGGACAAGUUCUUCUCUCUGAGAGAGAAGACAAACCUUGAAUUAAAAUUUUCAAAAAAUGUGUCAUGA